rnacentral:rRNA from 1 species
UGGCCUACGGGUGGCAGCAGUAAGGAAUAUUGGGCAAUGGACGCAAGUCUGACCCAGCCAUGCCGCGUGCAGGAUGAAGGCCCUAUGGGUUGUAAACUGCUUUUGUACGGGAAGAAACUUCCGCACGUGUGCGGAAUUGACGGUACCGUGCGAAUAAGCACCGGCUAACUCCGUGCCAGCAGCCGCGGUAAUACGGAGGGUGCAAGCGUUAUCCGGAUUCAUUGGGUUUAAAGGGUGCGCAGGCGGAAUGAUAAGUCAGUGGUGAAAUCCUACAGCUCAACUGUAGAACUGCCAUUGAUACUGUCGUUCUUGAGUAUAGUUGAAGUGGGUGGAAUGUAUCAUGUAGCGGUGAAAUGCAUAGAUAUGAUACAGAACUCCGAUAGCGAAGGCAACUCACUAAACUAUAACUGACGCUCAUGCACGAAAGCGUGGGGAGCAAACAGGAUUAGAUACCCGAGUAGUCGUA